AUUGAACGCUGGCGGCAUGCUUUACACAUGCAAGUCGAACGGCAGCGCGGGCUUCGGCCUGGCGGCGAGUGGCGAACGGGUGAGUAAUACAUCGGAACGUGCCCAGUAGUGGGGGAUAGCUCGGCGAAAGCCGGAUUAAUACCGCAUACGACCUGAGGGUGAAAGCGGGGGAUCUUCGGACCUCGCGCUAUUGGAGCGGCCGAUGGCAGAUUAGCUAGUUGGUGGGGUAAAGGCCUACCAAGGCGACGAUCUGUAGCUGGUCUGAGAGGACGACCAGCCACACUGGGACUGAGACACGGCCCAGACCCCUACGGGAGGCAGCAGUGGGGAAUUUUGGACAAUGGGCGAAAGCCUGAUCCAGCAAUGCCGCGUGUGUGAUGAAGGCCUUCGGGUUGUAAAGCACUUUUGGCGGGAACGAAAAGGACUGUGCCAAUACCACGGUUCGAUGACGGUACCCUCAGAAUAAGCACCGGCUAACUACGUG
rnacentral:rRNA from 1 species